rnacentral:tRNA from 1 species
GCCGGAGUGGCGGAAUUGGCAGACGCGCGGGAUUCAAAAUCCCGUCCUGGCGACAGGGUGUGGGUUCAAGUCCCUCCUCCGGCA